rnacentral:rRNA from 1 species
ACGCUGGCGGCGUGCCUAACACAUGCAAGUCGUACGAGAAAGUUGGCUUCGGCCGAUGAGUAAAGUGGCGCACGGGUGAGUAAUGCGUGGAUAAUCUGCCCUUUAGUUGGGAAUAACCCGCCGAAAGGCGGGCUAAUACCCGAUAACACUGACGCUCCGCGGAGCGUCUUUCAAAGAAGGCCUCUGUUUACAAGCUUUCGCCGGAGGAUGAGCCCGCGUACCAUUAGCUAGUUGGCAGGGUAAUGGCCUACCAAGGCUACGAUGGUUAGCUGGUCUGAGAGGAUGGCCAGCCACACUGGAACUGAGACACGGUCCAGACUCCUACGGGAGGCAGCAGUGAGGAAUCUUGCGCAAUGGGGGAAACCCUGACGCAGCAACGCCGCGUGAGUGAGGAAGGCCUUCGGGUCGUAAAGCUCUGUCAGAUGGGAAGAAAUGGAUGGGGGCUAAUAUCGCCCAUCCUUGACGGUACCAUCAGAGGAAGCACCGGCUAACUCCGUG